CUGUCCCCGCAGCCCCGCCCCCGCGGGGCCGCCCCCUCCCCGGGCCUCCGGGAUUUCCUCUGCGGCGGAAGCUGCGCUGCGGGGAGAGCGGGGUCGCUGCAAGGUCGGCGGCUGGGCCUCCGGUCCCGCCGCUGCUCUCGGGGGAGGCCUGGUGCCUGCUGUCUCCCGAAGCCGCUCCUGUGCCCCAGGACACUCAGGGUUCCUCCAGGUUGUCCUUCAGCCCUGGCAAGAGGGCCGCAGGCCCCGCAGGAAGCACAGGACAAGCUCUGGCGCGCACACACUGCACUCACCAGAAACUUCACAUGCAAGCUUAAUACUCUAACACCGGGAACAGAAUGAUGCGGUCCCAGGACCGGCGCGUGCCCACUGCCAUGCUCCUGCUGGAUUUCAUCACUCCUUGAAGGGUAACAACACGUGAAAAUACACGCGUAGUGAGAUGAGACAUCAUCACAGUUGUCGGCGAGCUGGGCCGGAGUGGCUCUGCAUGGAGGCCCCAGGGCCCUCUCCCCAGCCAGGGCCACACCCGAGGCACAUGGAGGUUCCCAGGCUAGG